CCCCUAGUACUGCGAGUGAAGCGGGAAAAGCUCAAAUUUAAAAUCYGGCGGUCUUUGGCCGUCCGAGUUGUAAUCUAGAGAAGUGUUAUCCGCAGCUGGACCGUGUACAAGUCUCCUGGAAUGGAGCGUCAUAGAGGGUGAGAAUCCCGUCUUUGACACGGACUGCCAGUGCUUUGUGAUGCGCUCUCAAAGAGUCGAGUUGUUUGGGAAUGCAGCUCAAAAUGGGUGGUAAAUUCCAUCUAAAGCUAAAUAUUGGCGAGAGACCGAUAGCGAACAAGUACCGUGAGGGAAAGAUGAAAAGAACUUUGGAAAGAGAGUUAAACAGUACGUGAAAUUGUUGAAAGGGAAACGCUUGAAGUCAGUCGCGUUGGCCAGGGAUCAACCUUGCUUUUGCUGGGUGUACUUUCUGGUCGACGGGUCAGCAUCAAUUUUGACCGUUGGAUAAAGUUCAGGGGAAUGUGGCAUCUUCGGAUGUGUUAUAGCCCUUGUUCGCAUACAACGAUUGGGAUUGAGGAACUCAGCACGCCGCAAGGCCGGGAAUUUAUUCCACGUUCGUGCUUAGGAUGCUGGCAUAAUGGCUUUAAUCGACCCGUCUUGAAACACGGACCAAGGAGUCUAACAUGCCUGCGAGUGUUUGGGUGGAAAACCCGAGCGCGUAAUGAAAGUGAAAGUUGAGAUCCCUGUCGCGGGGAGCAUCGACGCCCGGACCAGACCUUUUGUGACGGCUCCGCGGUAGAGCAUGUAUGUUGGGACCCGAAAGAUGGUGAACUAUGCCUGAAUAGGGUGAAGCCAGAGGAAACUCUGGUGGAGUYUUKUAGSGAUUCUGACGUGCAAAUCGAUCGUCAAAUUUGGGUAUAGGGG
rnacentral:rRNA from 1 species